GGUGGAGUGGCCCAGCGGCGACGGCAGGGGCCUGUAAAGCUCCGACAUUGACACAACGCGGGUUCGAGUCCCGCCUCCACCAC
rnacentral:tRNA from 1 species